GACACGACUGCAAUAGAACUGCAAAUCAAACGUGCGGUCCGAUUGUAGUUGAAUUGCAGUCGGUGUGCAGUUCACAUAAUGCUAGGCUGCACGGUUGGCUUGCAGUACCAUUGCAGUCGUGUC
rnacentral:pre_miRNA from 1 species